AUUGAGGAGAUCUUUUUAUACAUUGUCCUCAUUUCACCAAAUGUUUUGAGAGUUCGUGCUACAUACCAUGCAUGGUGAGAGGUGUGCUCAUGAACAUUCAUGUAAUCUUGGCAACCAACCCGUGAGAUACUUGAACAGAUAUUACAUAACCUGGAAACUACUGAGACCAACAUCGCGUGCUUCUUUCACUGCUGUGAUUUUUUU
rnacentral:lncRNA from 1 species